rnacentral:lncRNA from 1 species
GGGUGGGGGGUGGGGGGUGUGUGGUUGGGGGAAGGUGGCCUCCGCCUCUCCUCGCCACCUCUAUCUUUCCUCUCAAUCCCUCUCUUUUUCUGUAUCCCUCCCUCUCUCUUUUUUUUCCUCUUUCCUUCCCUUUCCUUUUUUAUAGAUCUUGGUUUUGUUUUUUGUUUUUUGUUUUUUGUUUUUGUUGUUUCUGGCUGCAGGUUUUUUUGAUUUAGGUGUUUUUUGCUUGGCUGUAAUAAGAUUUAUCGGUGGGGCUAUCUAUCCCGGUGGAGAUGGAGGUGUCAACGUCGGUGGAUGUAGUAACGGUUGCUUUGCUGGUUCAUAUGUGAUGUGGAAGCAGACAUUGCAAAACACCAUUGUAACCAUGAUUUAGUUGCCGCUUUUGGCCCACAUAUACAGGGUUUUGGCUCCAGUUCAGUGUUUGGAGUUACAAUAAUGAAAGUUACCAGUUUGUGUGGGUUAAGGUUUAGCCGGUGCAACACAAAGGGUUUAGCCAGUAUGGCGUUAUGUAUUUCUUCGGUUGCCAGAGAGGAUGUGGAGCGGUGUUCAUGUUUCUUGUUUUAAGUCUAUUACUCAUUAGGAGUUUGCUGUACUUUUUAUUUUAAUUCUUAGGAACUCUUUAGGAGUUUGCUGUAUUUUGUAUUCUAGUUUUCGCCGUUUUUGCCGUUGUGCGAUUGAGUAUUUGUUGGUUUACGCAUAAUUAUCUCCAUAUCAAAUCAACAUGUUGUUGUGUCUGGUCAUUGACUCACUGGAGAUGUUGUACCCAUGUUGGCUCUUUUGUGACUUUGUAGUAUGAUAUGUUUCAUCAAUAGUUACUAUCGUUUUUCUAAAAUAAGGGUGAUUUUGAAAACUAGUUUUCACUCUUUUGAAAACUAAAAAUGAAAAUUGUUACCAAACAUAUUUUCAAUUUUCAGUUCACCAAUUUCACGUCACCACACAUACAUGUCACUCAAGUUACCAAAACUUGAUAUUUGGGACGUCUUGACUUGGACCCGACUGCUGGACUAUUG